rnacentral:rRNA from 1 species
UACAGAGGGUGCGAGCGUUGUUCGGAAUUAUUGGGCGUAAAGGGCGCGUAGGCGGUGCGGUAAGUCACCUGUGAAAUCUCCUGGCUCAACUGGGAGCUUGCAGGCGAAACUGCCGUGCUGGAGUGUGGGAGAGGUGCGUGGAAUUCCCGGUGUAGCGGUGAAAUGCGCAGAUAUCAGGAGGAACACCGGUGGCGAAGGCGG